GCCCCCUCGCUGCCGAUCGCUCGGGGUGGUGGAAACGCCGCGCGUGCGCGCUGGAGCGGGAGGGACGGCGCCGGAGGCGCACGCGCAGUGAGGGCGGGGCGAGGCGGGGCCGGCCGCCGCCGGUUGUUGUAGUAACGGGGAAGCGGCGGGAGUGGCUACCGGGUCGGACCGUGCCGAUGGGGCUAUGAAGGAGCGGGUAACAGCUGCUGUCAGAUCCCUGGGAUCUGUAGGAGGGAUCUCUGAGGCCGCCGAGCCGGCUGCAUGAGAACGCCCGGAGGAAAUGCCGGCGGGCAUGGCUCGGGGACUGGAGGAAAGUGGCUCGUCCUCGGAGGAGGAGGAAGAGGAGGAAGAUGCUGGGGACGGGCUGCAGGAUCAUCCGUGCAUCAGAUGGACUGGUGGCGGCUGCAGGCGGAUCCCCAUCUUCGUGUUUCAUGCUGAUGCCAUUCUGACAAACGACAGCUACCUCCGCCUAAUUGGAGGUGGGUGCAGCAAUUUAAUGGCUUUUGGCCUGAAGGUGUGAAGCAGAAAUCUUUUACCUGGAUGUUCCCCUCUCUUUGUGGGGAAGAGGGCAUGCUAGGAAGGAACUUCUAAUCUUAUUGUCUCUGAGCACUGAGACAUUCAGAAAUGCUUGGUCGGUCAGCGAAUGUUUAUUUGUAUAUUUAGAUUGUGCUACGUGCCUAUUUUUGCCCUUUUGAUGAGUUUGAGUUGGAACUGUCUGGUUGCAAAUCAUAUUUGAAGGUUGUGCCGCUUAUGACCAUAAGAUAAACUGACUGAUUGCUGAGAACUUAAAAUCAAUCCUUCCAGUGAGUUUUAUGAGGGUUUCAUCAGGAAACGGAGUCUCCACCCCCCUCACCCCCCUAAUCACCACCUACCAUGACAAUAACAGUAGUAAGCUUUAAUAGCAACUCUGUGCCUCAGAGCCUGGCAAGUCUGAGUAAGGCUGUAAGUCUAUGAUUGCUGUUGUAGCAGCUCUGCCAUCGGGAGACCAAACCUGUCUAGUGUCAAAUAAGGAAGAGCUUCUAUAUAAGGUGAAGUUAUUAUAAAGAGUUGCUCCAGAUUGUGAGAGUACUGGUGGGUGUGUGCAGCUGGGAACUCAUUCUAGGUGUGCUGAGUUAGGGAAAAGCGAAAAAUCCUCCUGGGUUUUUUGAUGCUGACACCGCUUUCUUCUCUUGCUUCUCCCUUUCUUUGGUAAUUGGUGCACUCAUUUCUAAUGUCCUAGCCAACUAGAAGUGCUCCUGGCUCCUUUGGGCAAGGGGUGGAGGUGACUUGUGUGUAGAAACUCCUGAUCCUUUUGAUGUUACAGACAUGCUUAGUGGUGGCAGAAACUGAAGGUGAUUGUACCUUAUAUUCUAAUUGAGGUCUAGUAUCUCCUGUAUCUUCUGCUUUUCCUCAGGCUGUGGGUUAUUUUUUUGUAAUUGAACAAGUUUACUAUGUGAUAGCACAACUUUUACAUUUCCUUUAGAGCUUUAUGCAGUCCUGAAUGAUGCGUCUACUCUUUUCUUUAGACUUAUCUUUAUUGGUAGAACUUGUUUCCUUGUUUUAAGGAUCUCUGAUCAUUCC